rnacentral:rRNA from 1 species
AUUGAACGCUGGCGGCAGGCCUAACACAUGCAAGUCGAGCGAGCGGCGGACGGGUGAGUAAUGUAUGGGGACUGCCCGAUAGAGGGGGAUAACUACUGGAAAAGGUAUCUAAUACCGCAUACUAUCGGAUAACCCAUAUGGGAUUAGCUAGUAGGGGAGGUAAGGGCGCACCUAGACGACGAUCCCUAGCUGGUCUGAGAGGAUGAGCAGCCACACUGGGACUGAGACACGGUCCAGACUCCUACGGAGGCAGCAGUGGGGAAUAUUGCACAAUGGGCGCAAGCCUGAUGCAGCCAUGCCGCGUGUAUGAAGAAGGCCCUAGGGUUGUAAAGUACUUUCAGUCGGGAGGCGUUACCGACAGAAGAAGCACCGGCUAAAUCCGUGCCAGCAGCCGCGGUAAUUC